rnacentral:rRNA from 1 species
GGCUUAACACAUGCAAGUCGAGGGGCAUCAGGAAGAAAGCUUGCUUUCUUUGCUGGCGACCGGCGCACGGGUGAGUAACACGUAUCCAACCUGCCCUUUACUCGGGGAUAGCCUUUCGAAAGAAAGAUUAAUACCCGAUAGUAUAAUCAUUCCGCAUGGUUUGAUUAUUAAAGGAUUCCGGUAAAGGAUGGGGAUGCGUUCCAUUAGGUUGUUGGUGAGGUAACGGCCCACCAAGCCUUCGAUGGAUAGGGGUUCUGAGAGGAAGGUCCCCCACAUUGGAACUGAGACACGGUCCAAACUCCUACGGGAGGCAGCAGUGAGGAAUAUUGGUCAAUGGGCGCGAGCCUGAACCAGCCAAGUAGCGUGAAGGAUGACUGCCCUAUGGGUUGUAAACUUCUUUUAUAUUAAAAUAAAGUGCAGUAUGUAUACUGGUUUGUAUGUAUAAUAUGAAUAAGGAUCGGCCAACUCCGUGCCAGCAGCCGCGGGAAUACGGAGGAUCCGAGCGGUAUCCGGAUUUAUUGGGUUUAAAGGGAGCGUAGGUGGACUGGUAAGUCAGUUGUGAAAGUUUGCGGCUCAACCGUAAAAUUGCAGUUGAUACUGUCAGUCUUGAGUACAGUAGAGGUGGGCGGAAUUCGUGGUGUAGCGGUGAAAUGCUUAGAUAUCACGAAGAACUCGAUUUGCGAAGGCAGCUCACUGGACUGCAACUGACACUGAUGCUCGAAAGUGUGGGUAUCAAACAGGAUUAGAUACCCUGGUAGUCCACACAGUAAACGAUGAAUACUCGCUGUUUGCGAUAUACAGUAAGCGGCCAAGCGAAAGCAUUAAGUAUUCCACCUGGGGAGUACGCCGGCAACGGUGAAACUCAAAGGAAUUGACGGGGGCCCGCACAAGCGGAGGAACAUGUGGUUUAAUUCGAUGAUACGCGAGGAACCUUACCCGGGCUUAAAUUGCAGUGGAAUGAUGUGGAAACAUGUCAGUGAGCAAUCACCGCUGUGAAGGUGCUGCAUGGUUGUCGUUAGCUCGUGCCGUGAGGUGUCGGCUUAAGUGCCAUAACGAGCGCAACCCUUAUCUUCAGUUACUAACAGGUUAUGCUGAGGACUCUGGAGAGACUGCCGUCGUAAGAUGUGAGGAAGGUGGGGAUGACGUCAAAUCAGCACGGCCCUUACGUCCGGGGCUACACACGUGUUACAAUGGGGGGUACAGAAGGCAGCUACCUGGUGACAGGAUGCUAAUCCCAAAAGCCUCUCUCAGUUCGGAUCGAAGUCUGCAACCCGACUUCGUGAAGCUGGAUUCGCUAGUAAUCGCGCAUCAGCCACGGCGCGGUGAAUACGUUCCCGGGCCUUGUACACACCGCCCGUCACACCAUGGGAGUGGGUUGCAAAAGAAGUAGGUAGCUUAACCUUCGGGAGGGCGCUUACCACUUUGUGAUUCAUGACUGGGGUGAAGUCAUAA